rnacentral:lncRNA from 1 species
AAGUAAUGAAGAGUGAUAAAACGUGUUUAACGCAUAUCGUAGAAGUGCAUUGAAGCGUUCAGAAGGCAAAAAGUUUUAGAAAUAGUAUGUGGUUUAAGAUGGUAUGAGUACAAUAUAUGAACAACAUCAGUGCAGGGGGUCAUAGUCCAAAGUGAAACAUGGAGAUAUUCCACCUGCAAAUUAUUUGGGAAAUGAGCAAUCAAAUGCCUAUCAGAAUACUUUGAUUGUACGAAAAUCCUGAAUAACAUAGUGACUAAUCAAUAUCAGGAAAAGGAAAAACUUAAUAAAGUAAUAUUGGGCAAGCAAAAUUAAAUGGUUAAUAUUAGACAGUGAAAACACUCACAAAAAAUGUGAAUCAGUCUCCUUGUACAUGAAAACUAAGAACUCGGGAAAUCAGAGACCAUUACUUCAGCUCAUGAAUUGAGUAGCUCUUUCCUCGAAAUAAUAAUUGAAUGGUUAGAAUAUAUAAUAUGUUCCAAAUAAAGUAAAUCGCAUGUUUCUCCUUUCAUAGCCUUGAUGAUGAACAUAGAUACAUAGAAAUGAGAAUUACCAGUUUUGGAAAACUAAACAUUAUUGCUAAACUAAAGAUGUAGAACAAAAAUAAUUCUGGAGUAACCAAAGGUGAACAACCUGAAAUGAUACAAAGCAAUUAAAGGACGGACAAACAUUAGCUGCAUUUUUGGAUUGGCAUUAGAAAGUAAUGUGAAAUCAUAGAGGAUGUCACCUCGAUGAAUUAAUACUCAAGUGGCAUCCAACCAGUUUUAUGUAGUAAAUCUGCAAGGAAAGAAAAUAUUAGUGGUCUCUACUUUGAAAUCUAGCCUUGGUCAAAGAAGAGACUGAAAAUAAAUGAAGGAACCUUACAUGUAUUUGUAGUAGGCAAUAGAUAUAAGGGCAUAAUGUAUGCCUCUUCAUCUUCCCUGAUCGGCCACGCAACAUAAAUCCAUCGCAAAUUUGGGCCAUUUGGAAAAAUAUAAGACUAUAGUACAGACAACACCAUGCAAAAAUAUUUAAGCAUUUCUUCAACAUCUUCUUUUCCCUGUCAAAGAUGCUUGAGUAAGCCAGAUACAGGCAAGAGUCUUGCAAUCAUCAUUCUAAAUCAAAGCAAUUACAAAUAUGAAAGGUAUGAAAUUAAGUAAAAGAAAAGACACGUGAAUGUCCAUUGUAGUUGCCUAAGAAAAACAAUGGCAUGUGAAGUAUGGGAUUUUGCUUGUAAAACUGAAACUUAUUAUAUGUGGUCUGUAUUGUAUUCAUGAAAGAAUUGCGGCUGAAUAAGAAGAGGCACCUCACAUCUUGUAGUAUACAUCCUACCAUAAGGGGAGAAAGAUUUUAUUGUGAUAUACGGAGUAUAUGCAUGUUCAGAAAACAAAUUUUGUUUAACCAACAUGCAUAAGCGGGGACUGUGAGUACCGAAUACAAAAUUAGAGAUUAGAGAUAAGACGGCAGGUCGGCUUGCCAAAAAAUAAAGCUACCAUUGCCAUAGUAGAAGCUCGUCUAUGCAUCAGCCGGGACGACACCCGCAGAAGGAGUUGGAUCCAGG